rnacentral:rRNA from 1 species
GAAGGGGGCUAGCGUUGUUCGGAAUCACUGGGCGUAAAGGGCGCGUAGGCGGCCUGGCAAGUCGGGGGUGAAAGCCUGUGGCUCAACCACAGAAUGGCCUUCGAUACUGCUGGGCUUGAGACCGGAAGAGGUCAGUGGAACUGCGAGUGUAGAGGUGAAAUUCGUAGAUAUUCGCAAGAACACCAGUGGCGAAGGCGGCUGACUGGUCCGGUUCUGACGCUGAGGCGCGAAAGCGUGGGGAGCAAACAGGAUUAGAUACCCUGGUAGUCCACGCCGUAAACGAUGGAUGCUAGCCGUUGGCGAGCUUGCUCGUCAGUGGCGCAGCUAACGCUUUAAGCAUCCCGCCUGGGGAGUACGGUCGCAAGAUUAAA